AUUGAACGCUGGCGGCAUGCCUUACACAUGCAAGUCGAACGGUAACAGGUUAAGCUUACGAGUGGCGAACGGGUGAGUAAUGUAUCGGAACGUUCCCAGUCGUGGGGGAUAACUGCUCGAAAGAGCAGCUAAUACCGCAUACUACCUGAGGGUGAAAGCGGGGGAUCGCAACACCUCGCGCGAUUGGUGCGGCUGAUAUCAGAUGAGCUAGUUGGCGGGGUAAAAGCCCGCCAAGGCGACGAUCUGUAGCCGGUCUGAGAGGACGACCAGCCAAACUGGGACUGAGACACGGCCCAGACUCCUACGGGAGGCAGCAGUGGGGAAUUUUGUACAAUGGACGCAAGUCUGAUCCAGCCAUGCCGCGUGCGGGAAGAAGGCCUUCGGGUUGUAAACCGCUUUUGUCAGGGAAGAAAAGGUUCUGGUUAAUACCUGGGACUCAUGACGGUACCUGAAGAAUAAGCACCGGCUAACUACGUGCCAGCCGCCGCAGUAAGAC
rnacentral:rRNA from 1 species